ensembl:lncRNA
GAACAAGCAAGGCAAUGGCAGAUGAAAUUAAAUGUUGACAAAUGCAAGUUAAUGUGCAUUGGAAGGCAUAAUGUGACCUACUCAUACACAUUGCUGCAUUUUAAAUUAACUGUAACCACUCAGGGAAAAGACCUAGAGGUUAUUGUGAACAGCUCAAUAAAAACAUCUGUUAAAUGAACAGAAGCAGUCAGAAAAGCAAACAAAACAUUGGGCCGUACAAGGGAGAUUUUAUAUUAUCAUUUAUAUUAUGAUAAUACAUCAGGACACUGAAAACUGCUUUCUGUUGUGCCAGGCUCUGUGUGAGCAGAGAGUGAAAAGGCAUCCGAGUGUGACCAGACACCAAUGGAUAAGGAGAUUCCUGGAGCAGAGGUUUGCCUUCAAGCAAGGAGAACUGUGUGAUGUGCAAGACUUCUGGCUCUGCAAGCAGCUCAACAAGCUUGGAUGCCAGCGCUGCCGUGGAGCUCCUGCAAUGUGUAAUCACUGCUCUCAUGCCUCUGGUGCCCAGGGAGCCUUGCACUUACAUGGGCAGGUGGAAACCCUCCCUCAGCAAACACGCCACCAGCUGCAGCAUGUCCCACUGGAGGAGCUGGGCUGACAGACGGAGCAAGGACGACGUCCUGAGCUUUGGCUUGGCUGCUGUAUGGGGAAUAAUUCUUGUGGGCCCCUUUCUGCUUGUGUGAGCGUUUUCGGAGCAUCUUCAGAAGCACCAGCCCUCUCCUCUGUCGUAUUAUUUUUGUUUGUAAAUCCUGGCUGAAGAAGGAUCUCGGCUCAAACAUAAAGCUCCAUCUGACCUGAGCAGCACGGGGCAAAUCUGGGAUCAAGCCUGUGAAGAAAACGGGUUUAUUAGCCUUAUAAAUUGAAUCUGGAGUUCUUGGUGCAAAUAACCUAGUACCCUCCCAAGUGACUCUGCUUUAAUGAGAACUGUCAAAGCUGCAGGUCUGACAGAUGUGAUAAAGAUUGGACAACUCUAGGGGUGGACAGCCAGGUUCCAGUGUGCUUCUGCCCAGCCUAGAAAAGCUCCCUCAGCAACACCACGGCUUCUCUCCCUACGGAUGGAGGGAAGUUCCCAACAUAUUCUCACAUUCCUCCAGUUAAAAACUUCCCACCCACAGACAUCCCAGAGCAUCCCUUUGGAGAACGAAACACAAAGGGAAUCCAAGAUGAUGCUUGGCUUCCUGCUGCUGAGACAAAUAGUGAGGCUGUUAAACUCUACCAUUGUCCCACGUCCUUUAGAGUGGAAAGAGUUUGUACUCCUUGCUCUAAGAUUUACGCAGCAGUGCUCUCCAACGCCAGGCAGCUGGGAAGUCCCCAUCUGAAACCUCUCCACAAGCUGAUGGGAAGCAGCAAGACCCACACUGCCUUCAUCAUUGUCAUCCCCAUCAAUGGAGCCAACGGGUCAGAAAACUCCCAUCCGUUACACCUAUGGCAUGCCAUCAGCUCGCAGGUGAUGAGGAAAAGCAGAUGCAGUUUUUGGUGAGCCAGUUGUUCUCCCGUUUGCGCGUCCCAAAAUGAGCUUCAAGAUUCCAAGCAUGCUUCACGCUGUAGGGUUCUGUCCACAGGGUCUGGGCUGGAUGUGACCUUAGGAGUGAAUGCAGUGUGGGGAACAGAAAAAUUCAGCAAAAAAAGAGCAAAUGUGUUAACGGAGGGCAAAAAAAACAACAACAUCAUGUAGUUCCCUCUAUUCUUAGUUUUAUGCAUUCGGCCAGUUCUGGAGUGACUGAAAACCUGAGAAUUUGAAAGGAAUGUUGUGAUUUCAGCCGAGUUCAAUAUUCUCUUCAAUAUUUUGAAAAGUGGAAGUCUUAGGCAGCUGAACAGAACUAU